AUACUCUCUUCGCCAGCACAUAUACUAAAAUUGGAACAAUACAGAGAUCGGCAUGAACCCUGUGCAAGGAAAACACACAAAUUCAUGAAGCACUCCAUAUUUUU
ensembl:snRNA U6 U6 spliceosomal RNA